AUGCAAGUCAGUCUGAUUUCGCAAAGAUGCUGUCUGGAAACUAUACUUGGUAACUUAAGAGUCCUUUAGAUUAUAGGCCAAGAUUUUUAUUUGGCGUUCAUACAAAAACAUUAAGCAUACAUUGUAACUUAAUCAUUGGUUCCACCCAAAACCCAACAACUCAUUCACUACAAGAAAAUAAGUUUAUUGAGACGUAUUUUUGAGACAAAAUUUUCGUCACAAAUUUGUGACACUUUAAAUACGAUAUCAUGACUAAAUUUAUUUGUCACAAAUUCAUAGUAUUUUCGUUACUAUAUUAUGACAGAAAAAUCAGUAACAAAAGUUUGUCACAAUUAGUGACGAAUGUGCUAUGAUAAUAUUAAUCGUCACUCUUAUGACUACAUUGUGACCAAUAUGUUGUUGCAAAUUAGUUAUGAACUUAUAACAUAUAUGCAAGUCACAGUUUGUGACAUUAAAAUGAGUAAACAUUAGUCAUAAAAUUGUAUUUUGUUAUGUCAUUUAUACAAAGCCCAUUAAGUCAAGUCUCUAACCCUAAUUUAACAAGACUUAUUUAAGAGAUGAUUAGGGUUUUAUUCUUCAUAAUUCCGUGUCUCCUAAACCUAGAGAGAGAGUAAAACAUUUGAGAGAAAGAGAACAAGGAGCCACAGUUGAGAUUAAGGACAGAUCUUACAUGUCCUAGGAGAUGGUGGAAAAGAAGGGGUAAACAGACUCUUUUAUGGACAAAUCUUGAUACGCGAAUUAACAUCAGUCAUCUUGUGAAAUCGUUUUCCACUGCUAAAAAUUGAACCAAAAGCUGAUCUACCUGCCGUUGGAAAGAUCUUAGUCUUACCUUUCCAGAGAGCCUGAUAUUGUUUCCAUAGGAGUUAUAAUAUGAAAGUUAUGGUCGAAUAUGUGCAUCUGGUCAAAUUUGUGAUUUAUUUUCUUUGUAAGAAGAAAGAUAGUUUAUAAUGUAUAUUUAAUGUUUAUGAUUAUAAAAAAUUUGUAUGA